UUUUUUUUUUUUUUCUUUUUUGGUCUUUUUAGGGCCACACCUGUGGCAUAUGAGGUUCCCAGACUAGGGGUCAAAUUGGAGCUAUAGCCGCCAGUGUAUGCCACAGCCACAGCCACACCAGAUCCAAGUCAUUGUCUCUGACCUAUACCCCAGCUCACAGCAACGCUGGAUCCUUAACCCACUGAGCGAAGCCAGGGAUCAAACCUACGUCUUCAUUCUUACUAGUCAGAUUUGUUUCCACUGAGCCUUGAUGGGAACCCCUCAUUUUUAAUUCUAUAUGGACUGUUUACAAAGGCUGGGUGGUUUAUAAGAUAUUUUGGAACUGUGGCGAAGGGGGAUUAAUAUUUGCCAUCAAUUGUGUGCUCUUAAAUGUUUAACAAUUUGCUCUCCGGGGAGAAGAAAAGGUCUGAUUUGCACUUCUACCAUAACUGAUUUCAAGCUACCAACAAGCUCAAGAACUUCCUGAAAUUUUAACAAUCGGUUCAUGAGCCAGUGGAAGUCAGCUUGGACACAACACAACUUGAUAUGUGACUGGUAUAUAGCCACUGUGUUAGUCUCUUUACAUACAUUACAGCCUUAUUUACUGCUUUCAACAAUCUUUAAGAAGAAAUAAGUGUUCAUCUCCAAAGUAAACUGAGACCCAGAAAGGUUUUUAAACUUGCCCAGGGAGAAACAACUAGGAAAUGUCUUUCUGGUCUUUCCAAAGACUCAUCCUAAUACACUAAGUCUAUCCCUCAUUUUUAAAAGUGAGUCAAAAACAAAUUUUAAUUUGGGUUAAAAGGCACUUCCAAAGGAGUGUCAUCCAUUAUUUAAAAUUGUACUCAUCAGGAACACUAUAGGCCUUGACAUCCAUGGGCAAGUGAGGUGUAAGGCACAGGUUAUUUAGAAUCAGAAAAGGCUAAUUGCAGCUUCACUGGAGACAAAUGGACAGAGACCUGUUCAGUGAUAAGCCCAAAGUCAAGCAGGAAUUUGCAAACAAAUCUUCCCAGCACCACCCAAGCAGUGUAGAAAGUGGCUCUGAGUAAUCUAGAGAUAGUCCCUUUCAGCUUGGAAUUCAGCGAUAGCUCCUGCCAAGACCAACCCCUGCCAGGGAUGGGCAUGGGAUACUCACCACACCAGUUCCACAUGCCCCCAGUUCGUGCAUUCGCACAUGCAAAGUCAGCGCAUUAACACACCUCAACAAACAGCCUUACAGCAAACCGCAGGAAAUUCCAUUUCAGCACAUAUUAUAACAAUGUGCCCCCUACUUGCACUGUCCAUUAAAAACCAAGGCAGGACCUAACCAUACUCUUUGGAAGCACAGAUAAUAUAUCUGGGGACUAAACAUUACUAGAUUCUAUUCAAAUUAAACAGCAACCUCUCUACCCGGAAGCUAAUGAUCACUAUACCUAAAAAUUUAUAAUUAGACAAAUUGUAUGGAAAGAAUCACUUAUGCAAUCAGUGGCAAGUUUCAACUUCUGUUUCCAGCCAGAAUCAAAGAGGUGGGUUGAUCUACCACAGGAUAAUGCAUUCCCUUUGCCCUCCCUGGCACUCACUGUGGAAUACAUUACUCCAUUAUGGAAGCAGCUAUUGUGUGCCUGUUAGGUAAGCAGGAUUUAUAAUUCAGCAACCAAGCUUUGGUAAUUAUCUCUAUACCAGCCAUGGCUCAAACCUCACCACAUAUCAAAGUCCACAAGGUUUCAAUACUACCAAAAAACUAAGAAAGAGAUCAGUCAAGGCUUUGGAAGAUCUACUUUUAACUUAUGGCAAGAACACAGAGCUAUAGUCUCUCAGUAUCUUCGAGAAACGCAUACUAUUAAUGUACAAUAGCCCUCACUGUAUUGUUGAUCUGCUCUAUAUUAAAACCUGAAUGAACUGAAUAAAAUAAAUACAUGCAAUUUUUUUUUAACCCUUUACCCAACAAAGAAUACAAUCAGCAGUAGCCUCAUCCAGAGAUCUUUGGUAAAAAGUAGAAUACUUUGACAUAGAAUAUUGCCAUUAUAUAGGCUUAAUGGUAGACACUUAGGGGAAUAGGGGGGAAAAGACAAGAAGAAAGCAGAGAAGGGCAAAGUUCGGGUACCUCCCAGCCUCUGCUUUCCACAGUCCACAUUAUUGGCAACCACAUCCAUCCACCAAACUGCCAACUACUGUGGAUGGCCCAUAACUAGAACUGCCUUCGUGAGCAUUAGAGCAUUCCAACCCAACCUUACUCAGGCCGUGUUCUCUUCAUUCUCCCUCCACUCCCCUCAUGCUCCACUUUGCAAGUCAGCCAUCUGGAAUCUCACGUCCUUGCAGCCAGACUUUGAGUUAUUAGAAAAUACUAUAAACUAGUUUUAUAAGCUAAUAGGAAAAGAGUAAAGUAGAUGACACCACUCAUCCUCAUGCCUCUUAUAGGUACCUUAGGUCUCCUGGAGGUAAUGGCUACUCUUGUAUUGACCCACCCUAAGAGUGAUCCCAGGGGUGAGCAUUUCAGCCCAGGCUAUAAGAAUAGAUGACACCCUGUUAGGCUUUGCUCUUGGCCACUGGGAUGAAGCUGGCUGAUGUGAGGAGUAGGAAUGGUGAGACCAGCCUUAUCAGUAUGCAUGUUCCUUAACAGUAUGCAGACAGCUGAGCAGAAAUCCAGCCAGCCUUCCCUGGGGAUGUUUCCUUUCUCACUUCUAUGCAGAUUAACCACAACCAACAUUUGAGUCACAAUACCCAACGAAGUAGAUGGCUUGAUGAAAACAACCUUUUAGGAUUCAAGUACCAGAAACACCAGUCUCUCCAGCAACAGCACUUCUCAUAACCAAGAUGUUGUGAGUUGUGCAACCAAUUUCAUAUGGCUGGAAGGUUCUUUUGUUUGGCAGCCAGGUAAAACAAGGGUUGACUCCUUUAAACAAUCUCCCUUCCCCUACAUACUCUUCAUACACAGAAUUCCUUUUGUAGCCACUGAAAAUCCUUUCACAGAACAGAGGGAGAGAACAAUCCGUUUGUUUUUAAAUGAACCUAUGCUCUCCCUCCAACUAUCCAGGCUAGUUCCCUUUUCUUUUUCAGACCUCUUGUCAAAAUUCUCUCAUUCCAGGAAGGCUUUUCCUACAAUGGGUCUCCUCUAAAUCAAAAUGGCUGUGGUCCAAAGGUUGUGCCAAAGAAAAAUUCAGCUAGCUGCCAGCAAUGUCUCCGCAAUGUGAGUGACCUUUCCUUCCUCCGUGUUUUUAUUUCUUAAUUGUCAUGUCUAUCCCAGUGAAGUGACAAACAUCUGAGGUAAGAAUUGCUUUUAUCCUGGUGUUUUUAUAGUGCUUCAGAUGAUGACUCUACUCCAUAAAUUGAAAAUCAUUAUUAUAUACAAAUGCAUAUGCUAAUGCAUGACCUGCAGCUUAGAUGGCAGAAUAAGUAAACAAUUACUGGCAAACACCAUGGUAUGGCAUUUCAAUGAAGUCAUCAGAGAAUCACUAGUAAUUAUCUUUGCAAACUUAAGGUGAGGUGUCCAUGGGCUGAAAGAGAGAGAUGCAUAUUUGUGCCUUAAAAAGAGAAACAGGAAAACUCAAAAAAUUAGAUUCAACGCCUUAACAUUCAGAUCCAAAAAUAAUACUGCAAUCUUAUAAAUAUAUGCAUGCAUGCAUGCACACACACACACAGCCCCCCCGACACACACAGAGUAGCAUGCUAGAUAAAUUCAAGGCAGUUUAAUUAAAAAAAAAACCCUAUCACAUUAGUCAAAUGCAAUUCAUUGGAAACAUGACAAUUCUGGUAAAACCAAGUAAAAGCCAAAGAUAUGAAGUAGUUUUGACUAUUGCACAGUUUUAAGUUUUGUGUUACUUGACAUCAGACAAUUAAAGUAUUAUAUCCUGAAAUCAUCUUCUCAUCAGGUGGAUUCAUAAGUGAUUAGAAGGCUUUUUCAGUAAGUAAUUAUUAAUGGUCCAGUGUCAGCCCAGAGAUGCAUACCUGAUGGGAUUCCUAAGAGGCUGGUCUUAACCUGGUGCUAUUUUUAGUAAUGACUUAGAGGAUGGUAGAGAAUAUGGUUAUUAAGUUCAGGAUGACAUCAAACCGGGUGUGGUACAUUCCGCUUUGGAAAACUAGAUAAAAGUGCAAACGAUCCUGAUGAGUUGGAGACAUGGGUGGACAUAAACAGAUUGAGGUUCUGUAGUAUAAUUCACAUGGGAAGAAUAACAAACCACACAAUUGCAGGACUCAUUUUGUGACAUCAUAAAGAAAAUAAUCUGGAGGUCAGAGUCAACACAAACUAUUGGUCUUUGUGCUUUAACCUUAAAAACAUGAUUGAUUUAGUAAAAGAAAGCCAGGAGUCCUUUCCCUGAUGCCCAGUACUGAUAUAGGCUAUCCUAGAAUAUUCUGUGAUGUCUUUAGCCCCACAUUUUAAAGUAGGAUAUGGAGAAUCCAGGGGCAUUUAAAAGGAAAUCAAAUUUCCUUACAAAUUAGAGAAACAGCCCCUAGACAAAUAACUAAAAUGAUAAAAGUGUUGGCUUAAAAAAAUUUGAGGAAAGGCCUAAACCACUUUCAAGCCUAGAAAGAGGAAGAAAGAUGGAAAGAUAUCAGUUUCAAAGAUAUUAGAAAAAUCUUCCUAGCAAACAAAGCUGUGGAAAAUCAGAGGGUAUUGCAAUGGAAGAUGUCCUUCACUGAAAACUUCAAAGAACAGGCCUUUCCCCGAAUUUGGGGACAGCUUUAUGUACAGACAAAAGACUACACAGGUGAAAAUAGAAAGAAAAGCAAAACCUCUGUAUUUCCUGUUUCUCUGUCACACCCCCCCCCCUUUUAUUCAAAAGGAAAAUGGCAGGAGGGAAGGAAGGGCAGGAAUUCCACAGUCUUUCUGAACUGUCACUUGUCCAUUUGAGACCAUAUGGUAACUCAAGCCCCAUCUCUCACCCCAGCUUCCCCGAGUUCCAACACUGCAUUGUUCGAAUUCUUGGCUAUGUUGUUUCUUAGCAAGUAUUACUGAGUUUUGAAGAAACUACAAAACCCAUACUCUUUGCUACCUCUGAGUGAGAUGCAGCCUGAUUCCCUAAAAUUACACUUUGCUCAUUUCCUGUCACUGGGUAUUUGUUCAAACCUGGUCUGGAAUGUGUAAUAUGUCCCUUCAUCAGCUUCCUAGGAAACUGCUACCUUUUAAGUCAAUAUCAUCCCACCCUCAUGGAGCUGGUCUAACCUCUCCUUCAACAGUGGUUUCUUCUUCCUAGGAACUCGGAGCCUGCAUGCACUGUCAAUGGCAUUUAUUUGAUACACAGUCACACAGAGCCUUGUGACACCUCAGGUAUUGUUGAAUCACUGUUUAACAUUUACUGUGUGUGUGCAUUACAUUCCUACGUAGACUGUGAGCUCUUUCAAGAUGAGGAUCAUGUGUUAAAAUUUUUGUAUCCUCCUAUAUAUAGCACUCAGUUCGGCAAGUACUGAGUUCAUAGGAGGGACUGUUAGUAUUUGCUUAAUGAAUGAAGAAAUGUUUAAGGAGAAUGUUUAAAAUAAAUUUGAUCUUUACUUAGAAAAGUUGCUUUCCAAUGUGGAUUCAGGGUAAAAAAGUAACAUUUUAUAAAUUCUUAGUGGGAAAAAUAGAUGUUAAACAUUAUAAAACCCAAUAAAAUAAUGCCUUUAUAUAUAGAAAAUAUUAAAUUAUGGAGUAUUUAAAAUAGUGGAGAUUAUAAAAAUUACACAACUGUUGAUGUUUUUCAUCUGAAUAGAACAAUUCUUAUCAGCACAUGCAAUUAUAAAAGCCAAAAAGAAAUCCUGUGUGUGUGUUUCAUUUGAGAUGAUUUGGUCUAAUAAAGUUUGAACACUUCUCUUUUAUUAUUUUAAGGUUAAUAUUUUAUGUUCAUUCUGCCUGAGCUCACAAAGACUGGUCUUUCUGCCAUGACCGAUAAUAACGUAUCAGAGGUAGUGGCCACAUUUAACGUGUAUUUCCACAUCUUAGAGAUAAAUAUCCUAUGAUAGUUCCUAAUCUGAGUUGCAUUUGAACUCAUGACCUGGAACUGAAGCAUACCAUAUCCAUAGCACCAUUUCAAAAAUUUCACCAUGAAGCAUUGUUUGAGAAUGAGCAGAUACAGCUGUUGUAAGCGCCUUUCAAUUGUUUAUAAUCUCAGUAUUGUAGGUGGUGAGAUGUUCUGAUACCAAAGAAUUGUCAUGACCUGCACUAGUUGGGGAAGCUGCUGGACAUCCAGGUAACACUUGUUCUUCUCUUGCAUUACACUUUGUAGUCAUUUGCACAUAGUAACACAGAAUUCCCACGAGAUUUCCACAAUAAUUCAUGAUGUCCAAAGUCUGUGUAAAAGCAAGAGAUGUAGGUUGGGGUGAGGAAAUGAAUUUAGGCCUAAGUUGUGGGUUUGAGAAUUAGUCAAAAAUAAUAAUAUCCUGCCAAAAUCUACAUUACCUUGUUUCCAUGUAAGGCUGUAUAACAGAAAUCUGUUUCUACAUGAACUUUUAUGGGAUUUCCUUUGAAGACCAGCUACUAUUCUCCAUAAUUCAGUCGCAUACGUUUGUCCAAUUACCAUGGGGGUAAGCUAUUUUUGACUCUCUUUAGGACAGUGAGCAGGGCAGUUCGGCAAGUACAAUGGACCAACACCUGCAUCAAGCCAGAAGGCUGCACAGCAGAAGGGAGUACUCGGAGAUCCAGAAUAAAACAGGAUCAUGAGUAACAGUAAUUCUUGGAGCCUUUGGUUGUUGGUGCCUCACCUAUUCCAAGUGUUCAGAAAAAGGGUCUUCACCUUCUUGGGUCCUCAUUUGAGAGUUUUCAAUAAAGGGUAAGACAUUCAGGGGCAGGGUGGUGGGGAAGGUUUUAAAUACUCUCCGCCAGAGGCAGGCAGGUGAAGAGGCAAGAUGAGCAGAGCAAUGACUGAGAAACUGGCUUCAGAGACCUACCAAUCCCAGCUCUGCCAUCAGGACCCUUACUAGUGACUACAUGAGUCAGUCAGCUUCUCUCAAUUUCAGUUUCUUCAUCUAAAAAUAAUCUUUAGCUCAGGUUGAUAUGAGGAUUAAAUGAAAGAAGUUUUGUACUAUAUUUAGGACAACACCUAGGAUAUACUAGUUUUUCAACUAAUUGGGUCUUGAGGGAUUAUGACUAUUAUUUGCAAUAAAAGAGCUCAUGAAAUAUCCAGAGCAGCCAGGAUAACCUGCACUGGAACUGGAACCACUCACACUGAGGCAAGACCUGUAGUGAAAAACGUCACUAAACAGGUGUCUAGAAAAACAGAACACAGGCUACAAGCAGCAAAGGACCUAUCUCUCUUCUAUUUUCCCAGAGCCUCUGGUGAUGCCCUAGGCACAGUGAGCACUGUGCAAGCAUUUCCCAAUAAGUUGGACAGAAGAAGAGGAUAGUACAAGAGGCCAGAGCAGAAGCAACAUCUUAAAGAAACUCAGGAACUAUAUAAAAGCCAUUACAAACUUAAAUUCCACAAAUUUCUUUUAAAGUCAAUAUUCAUUCUCUUUGGAUGCAUUAUCCAGAUGUACUUUUUCUUCUCUCUCCUACCCUCCUCAUCUACUGACCAAGAUUUGUGAACUUCAAAAACCUCAACUAGAUGUAAUUCAUUAUAAAAACUGCUAAGUAUGCUUUCAUUCCUUUUUCAUUAAUAUUUCUCAGCAAGUCAGAGUGUGACAAACAUGGUGCUAGAUGCUCAAAGACUGUGACUGAUUUCAAUAAUUCUUC
ensembl:lncRNA